rnacentral:rRNA from 1 species
AUACGGAGGAUGCGAGCGUUAUCCGGAUUUAUUGGGUUUAAAGGGUGCGUAGGUGGUAGAUUAAGUCAGCGGUGAAAGUUUGUCGCUCAACGAUAAAAUUGCAGUUGAUACUGGUUUACUUGAGUAUAGUUGAAGUAGGCGGAAUGCGUGGUGUAGCGGUGAAAUGCAUAGAUAUCACGCAGAACUCCUAUUGCGAAGGCAGCUUACUAAGUUAUAACUGACACUGAAGCACGAAAGCGUGGGUAUCAAACAGGAUUAGAUACCCUGGUAGUCCACGCAGUAAACGAUGAUUACUCGCUGUUUGCGAUAUACAGUAAGCGGCCAAGCGAAAGCAUUAAGUAUUCCACCUGGGGAGUACGCCGGCAACGGUGAAACUCAAAGGAAUUGGCGGGG